UGGGGGAAAAAGAGGAGGAGGCCGAAGGGUGGGAGGUCGUCGCAUCAGCGAACUGUUCACUUCCGGGGCUGACUGACUUUCACAGCAACAGCAGUAGGAGGAAGAGGAUACGUUUACUUUUUACAAAAUAUCAGCAACACACAACUCU
ensembl:ncRNA F13G3.14 ncRNA